GCUUUUGAAGAAAAGUACCCCGAAAACGGCGGCAUAUUCCUCAUCGUGAGAAAGGCUAAUUGUGCUAAAAACCUCAGAUGUCUGGUUGAUAUUACAGUUUCAUAUAAGCUAUUAAACAGCUAUCACGUUGCAAUUGCUUUCAUGUUCGAGAGGCGUAAGAAUACCUAAUUUGAGGGCGUAACCUCCAUAAUUAGGUCGUUCGAACAACCAGCAGCUUUUUCGUGACACGCACCUAAUGUUAAACCCCCUGUCACCCAGUUUAACAUUCACAUCAAUUUCAAAUUGUGCCAAAAUGCAUCAAGCACGGUGCUAAUUAUUAUCAAACAAAAACUAAAUAUGUUCCGAAUGACUGGCAUCUACUUCCUCUAUACUCUAUGGAACUUGUGAUGCCUAAUAUUAUUGUUUAUUUGUUAUAUCAGUGCAUGAAUAUACAAAGCCAAAGGUGAAAAAGGUGUUUCAAUUCGACAAUUCCAUUUGGUUAAACCAUUCCUGACUAGCCUUCAGUUCUCUUUAUCCAUUAAAGACACUCCCGGCUUUCAUUGGCCCAUCGUUUUGUUACAAUUGUAAUCUCGACCGUGCAUAUGGAACGAUGAUUUGAUAACGAAAAACAAGUACGGAUUGUCCUUUUAGGAAAUGUAUAAUAUCAUCUUUCUUCAAGUAAACAAAACAGUUAAAAUUCCACAGUCCUUUUAGGCAAAUUAUAGUUUUACCAACGCACAAUAUAGGAUGAUUUAAUUUGAGUGUGCCAUAGAAAUUGAGCUAAUUUUAGUAAUUUAAUGACGCCGAGAAUGUUGCGUUUCAUGGAUUCUGAUCACUAGCAUGCACAACUAAAUAGUAAAUUGCUUCUUCAACACGGAACUUUGUGAGAUUCUAUCGACUUGAUCAGUUGGAUAUAAACCUCCAAGGCGUUAGGAGGUUGGUUGGUAAAAUUGGUGUAAAGGUCAGCAAAAAUGCACAAGCUUAGUCAUGUAUCAGAAAUUACUCUUCGCAUUUGCAGUGGCCGUGUUUCUUGCAAAAAUAGGAACUGCCCUAAAAUGCAACGAGUGCUUAUAUGAUUCAACACAGCCGAAGAAUUUGCAAACAUGUGAAAAUAGAACAACAAUCAGUGUGAACUGCUCAGGUUCCUGUCUUACUACAAUUGCGACAGAUCGUAACGGAACAACGCUUGUUUUUAGAGGUUGCGUCGCUAAAAGCAAAUGUACCGAUGUCAAAGAAAGAUGUAGCACUGCAUUAAAGAAUGGAACCUUGACGUCUUGUCACGUGGAUUGUUGUAAGACCGAUAAUUGCAACAAUUACACCCCCAGCAGUGCAAUUGGCGUCAUGGCAACCAAGAUUACCGUCUUCGUGAUGAUGUUUUCAUGUUUUUUCUUUACUUAACUUAACGGGCUUUGAAUUUUGCGAAAGAGACAGCGUGGUUUAGCCCUUUACUAGUUCUUCUUAGGAUGAUUUAAUCAUUGUUUAUUAAGUUGUCUCAAGAAUUUGAAUAAUCACUUGUUUAGACUUUAGUUUAGCCAUGGAGUGAGUACUUCUCUACAUUUGAUAAAGUGUUGAAAUAUUUAAAUCGCGAUUAUUACGAUUUCUGAUUUUCUCAAAAAGUAUAAUAAAGUAGUCAUAGGCGUAAGAGGAAUUCUUAUAAUAAAUAUGAGAGCCCAAUAUUUACAAGGUGUUAUAUAACAAGUUCGUAAGGAUAAGAUGGGAUAGAAGGGUGAUAAGAUGAGUACAUGAGAAGACAUUACGGUUGAAGGGACAUUGAUAACGUGAAUAUUUCGCGUAUAUAUAUGACAUUGUACGUUGUUACCAUUGUUGCUUGUCCUAAAGGUACAAUCCUGGACAUAAUUGAUGUGGACAGGAAAAUUUAUUAGCAAUAUUUCAGGUAAAUCCUGAAAAUCUUGCGUGUGUAUGCAGAUCCCCACUCCCCCCUUGUCAACGUUGGUUCCUAAUGUCGCAUGCAUCACUUAAUCCUGCCAAAGUUGAGAAACAUCAACAUUGUUUCGAGGGAUUAUAUUAGGGAGUGCGAUUUAUGACCAUAAGCCUUUAUUUUAUUAAAUUAAAGGCAUUGUGAGGUUAACGCUUAUCUGUUCUGUCAGUUACUAAAAUAUUGCAUUUCAAAUGUUGGAUUCUGACCAAUAGGAGAACUCAAUGGUUAAGUACUUUUCCAACACGGUCAAAGCAGAACUAUAUGUCAUCCUAUCUAUACUUAAUUAAACUUCCAAGCGACUGGUUGAUAAAAUUGGUAUAACGGUUCACAAAACGCUUCACGAGCUUACGUCAUGUAUCAGAAAUUACUCUUCGCAUUUGCAGUGGCCGUGUUUAUGGCAAAAAUAGGAACUGCCCUAAAAUGCAACUACUGCUUUUACGCGUCAACACAGCCGAAGAAUUUGCAAACGUGUGAAAAUAGAACAAAAAUUGUGAACUGCUCAAGUUCCUGUAUUACUGCAAUUACGACAAAUCGUAACGGAACAACGACUGUUGCGAGAGGUUGUGCCGCUAAAGACGUAUGUCCCGAUGAAAAAGCCAAAAAAAGAUGCAGCACUUUAAUAAAAAAUGGGACCUUGACGUCUUGUCACGCGGAGUGUUGUCAGACCGAUAAUUGCAACAAUUACACCCCCAGCAGUGCAACUGGUGUCAUGGCAACCAAGAUUACCGUGUUCGUGAUGAUUUUCAUGUUUUUACUUAACUUCACCUAACGGGCUUUGAGUUUUGCGAAAGAGACAGCGUGGUUUAGCCCUUUAGUAGUUCUUCUUAGGAUGAUUUAAUCGUUGUUUGUUAAGCUGUCUCAAGGAUUUGAACAAUCACUUGUUUAGACUUUAGUUUAGCCAAGUAGUAAGUUCUUCUUUAUACU